CAAAAACAUAGCUUAGUGUAUUAUAUAUUAGGUAAUUUCUGCUCAAUGAGAAUCUUAAAUAGCCGCAGUACCCUGACUGUGCAAAGGUAGCAUAAUCACUUGACUUCUAAUUAAAGUCUUGCAUGAAUGAAUAUACGAAGGGUUUGCUAUAUUAUUGAUAGGACAAAAAAUUAAUUAGUGAGUGAAAAUGCUCACGGAAUAAAUAUUAGACGAGAAGACCCUAGAAAUUUAUAAUGACAUUUUGUUGGGGCAACAUAGUAGCACUCCUUUAACCUACAGAAUUAUCGCUUGCAGUAAUAACGGUUUGAUUAAAUUACUCUAGGGAUAACAGCAUUAUACGUGAGUGUUUGUGACCUCGAUGUUGGAUUAGGGAGUUGUAGCUUAGAAAGCAACCAAAACGCUCUGUUCGAGCG
rnacentral:rRNA from 1 species